GCAAAAUGCCCCCGUAACUUCGGGAGAAGGGGGGCCAUCACUGGUGAUCCGAUUUACUCGGUGAGCUGAGGGUGGCCGCAGAGACCAGCGAGAAGCGACUGUUUACUAAAAACACAGGUCCGUGCGAAGCCGUAAGGCGAUGUAUACGGACUGACGCCUGCCCGGUGCUGGAACGUUAAGGGGACCGGUUAGCUGCCUUUCGGGGUGGCGAAGCUGAGAACUUAAGCGCCAGUAAACGGCGGUGGUAACUAUAACCAUCCUAAGGUAGCGAAAUUCCUUGUCGGGUAAGUUCCGACCUGCACGAAUGGCGUAACGACUUCUCGACUGUCUCAACCAUAGGCCCGGUGAAAUUGCACUACGAGUAAAGAUGCUCGUUUCGCGCAGCAGGACGGAAAGACCCCGGGACCUUUACUAUAGUUUGAUAUUGGUGUUCGGUUCGGCUUGUGUAGGAUAGGUGGGAGACUGUGAAGCGGCCACGCCAGUGGUUGUGGAGUCGUCGUUGAAAUACCACUCUGGUCGUGCUGGAUGUCUAACCUGGGUCCGUGAUCCGGAUCAGGGACAGUGUCUGAUGGGUAGUUUAACUGGGGCGGUUGCCUCCUAAAGAGUAACGGAGGCGCCCAAAGGUUCCCUCAGCCUGGUUGGUAAUCAGGUGUUGAGUGUAAGUGCACAAGGGAGCUUGACUGUGAGACCGACGGGUCGAGCAGGGACGAAAGUCGGGACUAGUGAUCCGGCAGUGGCUUGUGGAAGCGCUGUCGCUCAACGGAUAAAAGGUACCCCGGGGAUAACAGGCUGAUCUUCCCCAAGAGUCCAUAUCGACGGGAUGGUUUGGCACCUCGAUGUCGGCUCGUCGCAUCCUGGGGCUGGAGUCGGUCCCAAGGGUUGGGCUGUUCGCCCAUUAAAGCGGUACGCGAGCUGGGUUUAGAACGUCGUGAGACAGUUCGGUCCCUAUCCGCUGUGCGCGUAGGAAUAUUGAGAAGGGCUGUCCCUAGUACGAGAGGACCGGGACGGACGAACCUCUGGUGUGCCAGUUGUCCUGCCAAGGGCAUGGCUGGUUGGCUACGUUCGGAAAGGAUAACCGCUGAAAGCAUCUAAGCGGGAAGCCUGCUUCGAGAUGAGUAUUCCCACCCCCUUUGAGGGGUUAAGGCUCCCAGUAGACGACUGGGUUGAUAGGCCAGAUGUGGAAGCCCGGUAACGGGUGGAGCUGACUGGUACUAAUAGGCCGAGGGCUUGUCCUC
rnacentral:ncRNA from 1 species